UCGCCACACCCUUCCCUUGGGGAGGCCGCGCCCUAUGCACGUGGCCACACGCUUCCGCUUAAAGAGAGCGUCUCCGCGCCGGGGGGCGGAGAAGCGGGACCGUCACAGCUUUGUAAUUGGAAGGCCACCCUAAUCUGUUCUGAACUUGCAUGAAAAUGGAAGAAACACCUGAUAUUACGCCUCUCCACGCUGCAGUUUCUUCAGCAGUACUCCAGAGACGAUGAUCUGUAAGUGGAAAAAACUGAAAUCUCUACAGCCAGUGUAAGCCUGCCAACCUUUGCCUCCAUUGAGUGCCCAGGAGAAUCAAAUGGAUCUGAUCCAGGCUUACAGUCAUAUCUUGAUUCAUCAUCUCUUCUCUUUCAAGAAAUAGUUUCCUACUACUAUUUAAGCAAAUCUUUGCAGAUUCGUGCUGGGUUAUCUCGUGUGCCAAGAGGAUUCUUGAUGCUGUGCAGUAAAUUGCUAAGUCCUUUCCAGGAAGACCUUCAGGUGUCACAUACUGCCAGAAAGAAGUUGUUUGCCACAAUGAAGUAUUAAGUGACUUGGUGUAAAAAAUGUGGAUGACUUUGACCUGUCACUAGUGUCUGAUGAAUAUCUUAUAUGCUAAAUGUCUGAAAUUCUUAUUAAACAUGUAUAUAUAUAAGAUCCUGAUUUGUAUUAUCCAUAUCUGGAAUAAGUACCUGGAUUAGUAUUAUUUUAGUCAGAAAACAAAUGAAUCCCUCUUCCCAGUAAUUAAACAAAUCUAUUUGCUGUUAUUAGUAUUUACAAUUCAGUUUCUAGCCUUAUCGACUACUGGACACAUCCACAUACAUACCACCUCCAUGACUAAACCUGUGUUCACAGCAAGAAAUAUGACAUAUUUUGAAAUGUGGUUUUCCUUGUUUCAGCUCUCAAAAUCUUACUCAAAGCAGUAAGAUUCACUCUAACAUUUCCCAGUAAAACUUAAGUACAGACUCUCAGACCAAUUCAAAGUGUUUUACUGUUGUAUUUUUAA